rnacentral:rRNA from 1 species
AUGCCCAUCUUUAAUUUGCUUAACUUAGAAGAUUUGGUUGAAAAUUUUGAUGAUCUUCACUGGCUAGAAGCUCCUUUUACUAAAGCUGAGAUUGAUGCAGUCAUUAAGGAUCUCCCUUCUGAUAAAGCACCUGGGCCUGAUGGCUUCAACAGCAGUUUUGUUAAAGCUUGCUGGGAUAUCAUUGCUAAUGACUUCUACCAGUUGAUUGAGGAUUUCUUUAAGGGUGAGGUAGAUCUGCAGAGCAUCAAUUCCUCUUUCAUUACUCUAAUUCCCAAAAAGAUGCUCCUAUUGAGGCUAAUAAUUUCAGACCUAUUUCACUCCUUAAUUGCUCCAUUAAGAUUAUCACAAAGUUGUUGGCCAACAAACUGCAAAAAAUUAUUCUGA